rnacentral:rRNA from 1 species
UACAGAGGUCUCAAGCGUUUGUUCGGAUUCAUUGGGCGUAAAGGGUGCGUAGGCGGGCAGGUAAGUCCGUGGUGAAAUCUCUGAGCUUAACUCAGAAACUGCCAUGGAUACUAUUUGUCUUGAAUAUUGUGGAGGUGAGCGGAAUAUGUCAUGUAGCGGUGAAAUGCUUAGAUAUGACAUAGAACACCAAUUGCGAAGGCAGCUCACUACUCAAUCAUUGACGCUGAGGCACGAAAGCGUGGGGAUCAAACAGG